UACAGAGGGUGCGAGCGUUAAUCGGAAUUACUGGGCGUAAAGGGCGCGUAGGUGGUUGUGUAAGUGUGUUGUGAAAUCCCUGGGCUUAACCUAGGAACUGCAACGAUGACUGCAGAGCUUGAGUAUUGUAGAGGGUAGUGGAAUUUCCGGUGUAGCGGUGAAAUGCGUAGAGAUCGGAAGGAACACCAGUGGCGAAGGCGGCUACCUGGACAAAUACUGACACUGAGGCGCGAGAGCGUGGGGAGCAAACAGG
rnacentral:rRNA from 1 species